GAUGAACGCUAGCUACAGGCUUAACACAUGCAAGUCGAGGGGAAACGAUGAGAGAGCUUGCUCUCUUAGGCGUCGACCGGCGCACGGGUGAGUAACGCGUAUCCAACCUCCCCAUUACAGGGGGAUAACCUUGCGAAAGUAAGACUAAUACCCCAUGGCAUUUUAUGGUGGCAUCAUUAUAGGAUUAAAGAUUUAUUGGUAAUGGAUGGGGAUGCGUCUGAUUAGCUUGUUGGCGGGGUAACGGCCCACCAAGGCAACGAUCAGUAGGGGUUCUGAGAGGAAGGUCCCCCACAUUGGAACUGAGACACGGUCCAAACUCCUACGGGAGGCAGCAGUGAGGAAUAUUGAUCAAUGGGCGAGAGCUUGAACCAGCCAAGUAGCGUGCAGGAUGACGGCCCUAUGGGUUGUAAACUGCUUUUAUAGGGGAAUAAAGUGAGCUACGUGUAGUUUAUUGCAUGUACCCUAUGAAUAAGGACCGGCUAAUUCCGUG
rnacentral:rRNA from 1 species